GAGUCCCAAGGUGAUGGAGUUCACCGAGAACCGCCGACCGCCCUUCCGCGCCCGGCUGAUAACUCCUACCAGCGC
rnacentral:ncRNA from 1 species